rnacentral:rRNA from 1 species
AUUGAACGCUGGCGGCAGGCCUAACACAUGCAAGUCGAGCGAGCGGCGGACGGGUGAGUAAUGUCUGGGAAACUGCCUGAUGGAGGGGGAUAACUACUGGAAACGGUAGCUAAUACCGCAUACCAUCAGAUGUGCCCAGAUGGGAUUAGCUAGUAGGGGGGGUAACGGCUCACCUAGGCGACGGUCCCUAGCUGGUCUGCGAGGAUGACCAGCCACACUGGAACUGAGACACGGUCCAGACUCCUACGGGAGGCAGCAUGGGGGAAUAUUGCACAAUGGGCGACAGCCUGAUGCAGCCAUGCCGCGUGUGUGAAGAAGGCCUUCGGGUUGUAAAGCACUUUCAGCGGGGAGGCGUUACCCGCAGAAGAAGCACCGGCUAACUCCGUGCCAGCCGCCGCGGUAAUAC